GCCGGGUGUGGUGGUGUGCACCUGUAGUCCCAGCUACUCAGGAGGCUGAGGCAGAAGAAUCACUCGAACCCAGGAGGUGGAGGUUGUAGUGAGCCAAGAUUGCACCAUUGCACUCCAGCCUGGGCAACAGAGUGAGACUCUGUCUCAA
rfam:Chlorocebus sabaeus isolate 1994-021 chromosome 3, whole genome shotgun sequence.